CCUACGGGAGGCAGCAGUGAGGAAUAUUGGUCACUGGACGAAAGUCUGAACCAGCCAAGUAGCGUGAAGGAUGACUGCCCUAUGGGUUGUAAACUUCUUUUAUAUGGGAAUAAAAUCUUCCACGUGUGGGCUUUUGUAUGUACCAUCUGAAUAAGGAUCGGCUAACUCCGUGCCAGCAGCCGCGGUAAUAAUGAGGAUCCGAGCGUUUUCCGGAUUUCAUGGGUUUAAAGGGAGCGUAGGUGGAGUGUUAAGUUAGUUGUGAUAGUUGUGGGCUCAACCGUAAAAUUGCAGUUGAAACUGGCAGUCUUGAGUACAGUAGAGGUGGGCGGAAUUCGUGGUGUAGCGGUGAAAUGCUUAGAUAUCACGAAGAACUCCGAUUGCGAAGGCAGUUCACUGGACUGUAACUGACACUGAGGCUCGAAAGUGUGGGUAUCAAACAGGAUUAGAUACCCCAGUAGUA
rnacentral:rRNA from 1 species